UGGGGAAUAUUGGACAAUGGGCGCAAGCCUGAUCCAGCCAUGCCGCGUGAGUGAUGAAGGCCCUAGGGUUGUAAAGCUCUUUCACCGGUGAAGAUAAUGACGGUAACCGGAGAAGAAGCCCCGGCUAACUUCGUGCCAGCAGCCGCGGUAAUACGAAGGGGGCUAGCGUUGUUCGGAUUUACUGGGCGUAAAGCGCACGUAGGCGGACUUUUAAGUCAGGGGUGAAAUCCCGGGGCUCAACCCCGGAACUGCCUUUGAUACUGGAAGUCUUGAGUAUGGUAGAGGUGAGUGGAAUUCCGAGUGUAGAGGUGAAAUGCGUAGAUAUUCGGAGGAACACCAGUGGCGAAGGCGGCUCACUGGACCAUUACUGACGCUGAGGUGCGAAAGCGUGGGGAGCAAACAGG
rnacentral:rRNA from 1 species